rnacentral:rRNA from 1 species
GUCUCAGUUCAGAUUGCAGGCUGCAACCCGCCUGCAUGAAGUCGGAAUUGCUAGUAAUCGCGGAUCAGCAUGCCGCGGUGAAUACGUUCCCGGGCCUUGUACACACCGCCCGUCACACCAUGGGAGCCGGUAAUACCCGAAGUCAGUAGUCCAACCUCGUGAGGACGCUGCCGAAGGUAGGAUUGGCGACUGGGGUGAAGUCGUAACAAGGUACC